GACAGAGGAUGCAAACGUUGCUCGGAAUUACUGGGCGUAAAGCGCGUGUAGGCGGUCUGGUAAGUCGGACGUGAAAGCCCGGGGCUCAACCCCGGAAGCGCGCUCGAUACUGCCGGACUGGGGUCCUGAAGAGGAGAGCGGAAUUCCCGGUGUAGAGGUGAAAUUCGUAGAUAUCGGGAGGAACACCAGUGGCGAAGGCGGCUCUCUGGGCAGGUACCGACGCUGAGACGCGAAAGCGUGGGAAGCAAACAGGAUUAGAAACCCCCGUAGUCC
rnacentral:rRNA from 1 species